UUUUGCAGCCUGAAAGUUUUGCAGCAAGUGUGGAAAAGUUUGCGCAAGUUUAUUUUCUCUGGACUGCGAUGGUUUCUCCAGGCGGAACAAGACGGAUGCAAAGAUGAUCGCCAGGUUCAGGAUGGGUAAUCAGUGCACGUUCAAGGUUGCUCUAUUUUAUACUUUUCAGCACCAAGUUACUGGGUUUCAGUAAAUGCAGAGUUUGAUGUCCCUUAGCCACCAAGAUAGCAGAAAUGAUUGCAAAACGUCAAAAUCUAUCAGUCACUAUAAACGCUGCAAAUUUGCCAGAUCAUUAUGAAAAACACACUAGCAAACCUACAAAACUGCCAAGGAGCUUCAAUGAAGCUAGUAGCUCAAAACAAACCUGAAAAAGUCUUCACUUGAGAAAAAAUAUUUGUCAAGUGUUUGGUGAAUAUGCAGCUUGAGUCUUGACAAGUUGAAUAAAACAACUGCAGAUGCUCGAAAUCUGAAACAAGAACAAAAAUUGCUGGAGAAGCACAAUUGGUAUGACAGUACAGAAAGCAAAGUUAAUGUUUCAAGUCCAGUGACCCUCCUUCAGAACUUGAUCGGUUUAACCAGGCAAAAUAUUGAAGGUAACAAAAUUGUGAUUUUUUUUCCAUAAUACAUUUAAGGGUGGCCAAAUCAGAUUGAAGACAUGCUCAAUGAUUUCAUUCCAAAACAAUCUGAUCAUACAACAUUUGUAAUUGUUACAUUUACCAUGUGAAAAUUGGAGAACUGGUGUUUGAGGAGUAACUUCUUCACUUUAAACUAGCAGCUUUGAACGAGAAAGACAGCAGAAAACUUUUAGGAAUGUCCUCAAAACUUCCUUGGAAGAGGUCAAUAAUCACUAUUGACUCAUGGGAGAUCCUGGCUAGUGUCUGACAAAAGUGGAGAACAUUCAUUUAGAGAUGCAGGGACCACAUCAAGAAAUAUCAUCGGGAAGCAACUGUAGACCCAAACGUUCAAUGACCACCCAGCUCUACAUGGCAGAGUCUACAUCGUGCCUCACUGGGACUGUCUAAGAAGAAUGAUUGUUUUUCCUGGUUUUGUACUUGAAGCAUGCUACCUGAGAAGUUCCAACAACCAGCAACUUACCUGAUAAAGAGAGUUCGUCAGCAGGAGGCGGCUUUGAUGGGCUCCAGAGCGGCGGUUGCGUCUUCAGAGGCAGCGUGGCUAGAGUUAGUCUGUCCGCCUGUGAAAGCUGGAGCGGGACACCUCUGUGAUAACAAGGUGUAGAGCUGGAUGAACACAGCAGGCCAAGCAGCAUCAGAGGAGCAGGAAAGCUGACGUUUCGGGCCUAGACCCUUCUUCAGAAAUGCGUGACACCUCUGUGUCGAGUGGACCCGUGCGGCGGCAUGGCCUGGGCUGGGAAGCCCGGAGCGGGACUCUGGCAGCAGUGUGGCAUGGGCUGGGAAGCUUGGAGUGGGAUUCUAGCGACACAUGCUGUAGCAGCAAAGAAGGAAAAGUUGGACUCUAAGUUUUUUUCAUUUUAUUCGAAGUUGAUGUGAAUGGUGCCAAUGUACAGGCAACACACUUUUCACUGUAUUUAAUAUUGAAUACACAGGUCAAUAAAGGUUGUUCUACUUUA